AUUGAACGCUGGCGGCAUGCCUAACACAUGCAAGUCGAGCGGAGCGGCGGACGGGGAAUUGAUACCUAGGAAUCAGCCUGGGAGUGGGGGAUACCGUCCGGAAACGGACGCCAAUGACACAUACUUUCAGAUGAGCCUAGGUGGGAUUAGCUAGUUGGUGGGGUAAAGGCCUAGCAAGGCGACGAUCCGUAACUGGUCUGAGAGGAUGAUCAGUCACACUGGAACUGAGACACGGUCCAGACUCCUACGGGAGGCAGCAGUGGGGAAUAUUGGACAAUGGGCGAAAGCCUGAUCCAGCAAUGCCGCGUGUGUGAAGAAGGUCUUCGGAUUGUAAAGCACUUUAAGUUGGGAGGCGUUACCAACAGAAUAAGCACCGGCUAACUUCGUGCCAGCAGCCGCGGUAAUUC
rnacentral:rRNA from 1 species